GAGCAACUUAGGAUUUUAGGCUCCACCGCAGUUUUGCGGCGCAAACCGAUGGCAGGCUGGCGGUCUGCUAUACGGUCAAAAUCUAUCCGCCGGAG
ncrna:unclassified sequences PreQ1-III riboswitch